CCUACGGGUGGCAGCAGUGGGGAAUCUUGGACAAUGGGCGCAAGCCUGAUCCAGCCAUGCCGCGUGAGUGACGAAGGCCUUAGGGUUGUAAAGCUCUUUUGCCGGGGACGAUAAUGACGGUACCCGGAGAAUAAGUCCCGGCUAACUUCGUGCCAGCAGCCGCGGUAAUACGAAGGGGACUAGCGUUGUUCGGAAUUACUGGGCGUAAAGCGCACGUAGGCGGAUUUGUUAGUCAGGGGUGAAAUCCCGGGGCUCAACCUCGGAACUGCCUUUGAUACUGCAAAUCUCGAGUCCGAUAGAGGUGGGUGGAAUUCCUAGUGUAGAGGUGAAAUUCGUAGAUAUUAGGAAGAACACCGGUGGCGAAGGCGGCCCACUGGAUCGGUACUGACGCUGAGGUGCGAAAGCGUGGGGAGCAAACAGGAUUAGAUACCCUAGUAG
rnacentral:rRNA from 1 species